GGGAGGUGAGAUCUGAGUGUGCGCGGAGAAGGUAUUGUCUCUGCUUGUUCCAAGCCUGAAACACCAGAGGGUGACAACUGGCCUAGAGGCUGCUCAGGCUCAAUUCAACUGUUAUAAACACCUUCCAAGACUCUUGUUGUGCACUUUGUGACUGCAGCCAGACUGGUCAUUUCUGAGAACUGGAAAUCCUUUACUAGAAAGCUAUUCACAGAAUGGAUCUCGCAGGCUAGAAGGAAAACAAGACUACAGACAAUGUGAAGAAUUAUCUGAAUUUUUUAUUUCUUACAUAAUGACAAAAAAACAAAACAUGUUAUCAUCUGCCUUCAAUACAUAUGCAUCAACAGAGCAUCUAUUCUGGAAUGAAAAUAUUUUGGCAACUCCUUGUCUUUUUGUAAUCUAUGUUGUUUCUCUCUCCCCCCCCCCAAACAUUUUUCAUUUUUUUUCUUGUUUUUGUAUUUUCCCUUGUUUAUGAAAAUCAAUAAAUACACUAUAAAAAAGAGAAAGAAUGGCUUUGUGAAGACCAAAGCUGAUCUUUGCCCUGCAAGAAACAGGGAGAAGAGACUGAUGAAGUGAGUGCAAUGCAGUUGUACAAUAAAGCCAUGGGGGUUUCACUCAAAUCCAGGACAAGUUUUUAAUCUGGAAGUAAACAGAACAAGGGGGAGAACUGAACAAGAUAAA